rnacentral:tRNA from 1 species
GAGGAUAUAGCUCAAGUGGUAGAGUACAUGCUUAGCAUGCACAAGGUCCUGGGUUCAAGUCCCAGUACCUCCU